GACGGUGGCAAUGAGUCUGACCUUCUGGCCCGAAAGGGUUGGGCAAACUGGUCAAUCACCGUCAUGACAGGGAUCGGGGCUUGGAAUUGUUCCCCGUGAACGAGGAAUUCCUAGUAAGUGCAAGUCAUAAGCUUGCGCUGAUUACGUCCCUGCCCUUUGUACACACCGCCCGUCGCUACUACCGAUUGAAUGGUUUAGUAAGGUCCUUGGAUUGGCGCCAUUGUGGUGGUUUGCCGAAAGGUAAUCUGCCCGACAGGUGCUGAGAAGACGACCAAAC
rnacentral:rRNA from 1 species